rnacentral:rRNA from 1 species
GACGAACCGUGCGAACGUUAUUCGGAAUCACUGGGCUUAAAGCGCGUGUAGGCGGGAAGGCACGUCGGUCGCUGAAAUCCCCCGGCUCAACCGGGGAAGUGGCGCCGAUACGACCUUCCUGGAGGGACGUAGGGGGACCUGGAACUUCCGGUGGAGCGGUGAAAUGCGCAGAUAUCAGGAGGAACACCAGUGGCGAAGGCGGUGCUCUGGGCCGGUACUGACGCUGAGGAGCGAAAGCGUGGGUAGCAAACAGG